CCUACGGGAGGCAGCAGUGGGGAAUUUUGGACAAUGGGCGCAAGCCUGAUCCAGCAAUGCCGCGUGCAGGAUGAAGGCCUUCGGGUUGUAAACUGCUUUUGUACGGAACGAAAAAGUCUGCCCUAAUACGGUGGGCCCAUGACGGUACCGUAAGAAUAAGCACCGGCUAACUACGUGCCAGCAGCCGCGGUAAUACGUAGGGUGCGAGCGUUAAUCGGAAUUACUGGGCGUAAAGCGUGCGCAGGCGGUUAUAUAAGACAGAUGUGAAAUCCCCGGGCUCAACCUGGGACCUGCAUUUGUGACUGUAUAGCUAGAGUACGGUAGAGGGGGAUGGAAUUCCGCGUGUAGCAGUGAAAUGCGUAGAUAUGCGGAGGAACACCGAUGGCGAAGGCAAUCCCCUGGACCUGUACUGACGCUCAUGCACGAAAGCGUGGGGAGCAAACAGGAUUAGAUACCCUGGUAGUCCACGCCCUAAACGAUGUCAACUGGUUGUUGGGUCUUCACUGACUCAGUAACGAAGCUAACGCGUGAAGUUGACCGCCUGGGGAGUACGGCCGCAAGGUUGAAACGUCAAAUGAAUUGACGG
rnacentral:rRNA from 1 species